GAUAAAAGGGAAACAAACAGGACAAACAGGAAUGAAGUAAGAGUCUAGAUUUAAACUUGAAUAUAUCAGUAACCAUAUAAAAUGAAAAUAGACAAAAUACUCUAUAAGAUGAAGAUGUUAGAUUAGCUAAAAGCAAAAUACACUUCUGAGACACAUUUUAAAAGCAGGACUCAGAAAAAUCGAAACACUCCUGCUGUUUCACUCCUCCGCGUGGUGGUGGCAGGAGGCGGGUCCCAGCGCACCGCAGGCUGUGGUGAACGAACGCCCGGCUCUCGCGGGACUUGGGAGCAUCCGGGUCCCUUCAUCCCCUCUUUCUUCCCCACCCUGGCGUCGUCCUGCGAUGCUGCUACCCUCUCCGUGGAAGAGCAGCCAGGGGCCCUACAGAUGCAGUACCAUGAACUAAAUCAAUCCCUUUUUCCUCAUGCAGCAUCUAGCCUUCCGUGUUUUAGAACUGCAACACAGAGUGGACCAGAAAAAAUGCUUCAUGGACUGUUUCAGAGGCGAGGAGUUGCAGUAACAAAUACACCCCAAAUCUCAGUGACUUUAACAAUGAAAGUACAGUUUCUGCUCACGUUGAUUCUCAGUGAGAAGCGAUCGGGAUCUCAGCUCAUCCUGGUCACUCUGGGAUCCUGGCUGAAGGAGGAUUCACCUCUACCAGUGAUUCUGUGGUUUCUGGGUAAGGGAAGGGAAUGUAGCAAGUCACUCAUGGAUUUAUUUUUAUUUUCGUUUUAAAAAUGGGGUUGGGAAACUAUUGCCUUUUGGCUGAGUCUGACCUAUCCCCUGUUUUUUUGUGCUUUCUGAGAUAGGAAUGUUUGUGCAUUCUGAAAUGGUUAGAAAAAGUCAAAGAAUAACAUUUUGUGACAUCCAAAAAUGAUGUGAAAUUCAGAUUUCUGUGUCCAUAAUAAAGAUUUAUUGGAACACAGCCGCAUUUAUUUGGUUACCUGUUACUAUGGCUUCUUUGAGCCUACCGUGGCAGAGCUGAAUAGUUGUGACCACGAUCAUGGAACCCACAAAGCCUAAUUGUACAUCUGGCCUUCCAUAGAAAAAGUUUGCCAAGCCAUUUAAAAGCAGCUACUUCGAACUAAUACAUAAUUCUCGUGUUCACAUUUUAUUGGCCAGAACAAAUCCCAUGUCCUUGCUUAACUUUGAAAACAGAAAAAGACAUGCAGAUGAAGUAGAGAAUUGGGGAUAUAGUAUUUGGUGAAUAGCAGUGAUGACUACCCCAGAAGCAGAGAAAAAAUAAAUUCCUGUUUAGGAUCUGCCUGAGAUCUCACUGUUCUUAAUUAAUUGAAUCUGAAUUAAAGAUAAUUUACCAUAAAUGUCUGUCAAAAGCCUCGAUUGCCUAUGUUCAUGCAGGCCUGGCCCUCCCUCAGAAUGACUGCCAUCGAUCUGUGAUUAUUCUCGUAACUGUAAUUUACAACUUGAUAACAACACCCAGAGAAAUUCCUAAGCAACCCAAUGAGCAAUUUUAAGAAGAAAAAAAAAAUCAAUUCUAGUUCUCCAGAGUGCAAGGGGACAUUUAAUACAGUAAAUUGUCUGAGCUCAGCUAGAGAGGGAAUAAAGAAAAGCAUUUAUUUUCUUAUUCACAGCUUCCUGGGAGCUUUUGACCCUCAUCUGGGAACCAUGUUUCCCAAACAAUCCAGGAGGAGAGAGCCGAGGUUGGCACUGCCUCCCGAGACAGGCUGAGCUCCUCUGCAGCCUCCCACGAGCUCCGGUCGCACCCACAUACACCAAGUGAGGCACUGAGUCAAUAAGAAACAUGAGUAGUGUCACAAAGUGAUCCCAGGCGUGCGUGUGUUCACCUCCACCUGUGAGCAGCUGGGACAGGGCCUGUUCCGGCCCCUUUCUGUCCCUUGGACACACAGACCCAAGAAGGCAAGCUCCGAAAUUCUGCCCAGCACUUUCACUGUGUCGGCCUCCCUCAUUUCUUGCUGCCUGAGAUAGUCUCUCCUACAAAUUACAAUUGUUUUCUUUUAAGAAAAAUCUCUAGAUAGCUCUUGUGCUGUUGCAAACCACAAUGAUUCAUAAUGAAUCAUCCCCAGAGGGCAUGUUUCCAUGAAGUCUUUCCUACUUCCUUCUGGUUCUGGCGACUGAGUAAUCAGAGGAUGUAAGAGCCCUUGUUCCCUGCCAUAAAAUAAGUUUAUAGAGAUAUAAUUAGCAAUAGUAUUAACUUCGUUUGGACUUAGCUGGGCUAAAUGUCCUAUAAGAGUUGUUUACGAGGCGGUAUGACUGGUUAUGGUAUUAAUAAUGCGAAUAGCCAGAAAUAUCAAUAUUGCUCCCACUUAUUGCCUCCUAAUGAGGUUGCCUGUGGAGUUCUGGGGUGGGGAUGAGCUGGUAGAUUUAUAGAAAGUUGUAAGAAAGCACUUAGGAGUCAUUAAAAGGAAUUUGGUAACCUCGAAAUGCAGGGCCUUUGUCCUUUGAUUUAUCAUCUCCGGGAAAGUCUCCAUGUACAGAUUGUACUGGCCUGGGACACAGCGUUCUUGAGAUGUCCACCCGUGGCCCACCUGGACGCACCUUCUCUGGGGCCCAGCUCUCUUGUGAC
rnacentral:lncRNA from 1 species